GUGCCAGCCGCCGCGGUAAUACGGAGGAUCCAAGCGUUAUCCGGAAUCAUUGGGUUUAAAGGGUCCGUAGGCGGUUUAAUAAGUCAGUGGUGAAAUCUGGUCGCUUAACGAUCAAACUGCCAUUGAUACUGUUAGACUUGAAUUAUUGGGAAGUAACUAGAAUAUGUAGUGUAGCGGUGAAAUGCUUAGAUAUUACAUGGAAUACCAAUUGCGAAGGCAGGUUACUAUCAAUAUAUUGACGCUGAUGGACGAAAGCGUGGGGAGCGAACAGGAUUAGAUACCCCUGUAGUCC
rnacentral:rRNA from 1 species